rnacentral:rRNA from 1 species
UACAGAGGGUGCAAGCGUUGUUCGGAAUUAUUGGGCGUAAAGCGCACGUAGGCGGCGCCGUAAGUCAGGGGUGAAAUCCCGGGGCUCAACCCCGGAACUGCCCUUGAAACUGCAGUGUUAGAAUCUUGGAGAGGCGAGUGGAAUUCCGAGUGUAGAGGUGAAAUUCGUAGAUAUUCGGAAGAACACCAGUGGCGAAGGCGACUCGCUGGACAAGUAUUGACGCUGAGGUGCGAAAGCGUGGGGAGCAAACAGG